GCAUAUCAAUAAGCGGAGGAAAAGAAACUAACAAGGAUUCCCCUAGUAACGGCGAGUGAAGAGGGAAGAGCCCAAGAUUGAAAGCUGGCGUCUUCGGCGUCCGCAUUGUAAUCUCAAGAAGUGUUUUCCGCUUCGGACCAUGCCUAAGUCCCUUGGAAAAGGGCAUCAUAGAGGGUGAUAAUCCCGUACAUGGCAUGGAGCGCCCGGAGCUUUGUGAUACGCUUUCUAAGAGUCGAGUUGUUUGGGAAUGCAGCUCAAAAUGGGUGGUAAAUGCCAUCUAAGGCUAAAUAUUGGGGAGAGACCGAUAGCGAACAAGUACAGUGAUGGAAAGAUGAAAAGAACUUUGAAAAGAGAGUUAAACAGUACGUGAAAUUGCCAAAAGGGAAGGGUAGGAGGUCAGAGAUGCGUCUUGGGAUUCAGCCUUGCUUUUGCUUGGUGUUUUUCCCAAGUUGCAGGCCAACGUCGGUUUUGGGCACUGGAGAAGGGUGGAAGGAACGUGGCACCCCUCGGGGUGUGUUAUAGCCUUCCACUGGAUACAGCGACCGAGACCGAGGACAGCAGCGUACUCGCAAGAGCGGGCCUUCGGGCACCUUUACGCUUAGGGCGUUGGCAUAAUGGCCCUCUACCACCCGUCUUGAAACACG
rnacentral:rRNA from 1 species